rnacentral:rRNA from 1 species
CCUACGGGAGGCAGCAGUGAGGAAUAUUGGUCAAUGGGCGCGAGCCUGAACCAGCCAAGUCGCGUGAGGGAAGACGGUCCUAUGGAUUGUAAACCUCUUUUGUCGGGGAGCAAAAGACGCCACGCGUGGCGUUCCGAGAGUACCCGAAGAAAAAGCAUCGGCUAACUCCGUGCCAGCAGCCGCGGUAAUACGGAGGAUGCGAGCGUUAUCCGGAUUUAUGGGGUUUAAAGGGUGCGCAGGCGGACGAUCAAGUCAGCGGUAAAAUUGAGAGGCUCAACCUCUUCGAGCCGUUGAAACUGGUUUUCUUGAGUUAGUUAGAAGUAUGCGGAAUGCGUGGUGUAGCGGUGAAAUGCAUAGAUAUCGCGCAGAACUCCGAUUGCGAAGGCAGCAUACCGGCGCUCAACUGACGCUCAUGCACGAAAGUGUGGGUAUCGAACAGGAUUAGAUACCCGUGUAGUC